GACGAACGCUGGCGGCGUGCCUAAUACAUGCAAGUAGAACGCACAGUUUAUACCGUAGCUUGCUACACCAUAGACUGUGAGUUGCGAACGGGUGAGUAACGCGUAGGUAACCUGCCUGGUAGCGGGGGAUAACUAUUGGAAACGAUAGCUAAUACCGCAUAAUAUUGAUUAUUGCAUGAUAAUUGAUUGAAAGAUGCUAUUGCAUCACUACCAGAUGGACCUGCGUUGUAUUAGCUAGUAGGUGAGGUAACGGCUCACCUAGGCGACGACACAUAGCCGACCUGAGAGGGUGAUCGGCCACACUGGGACUGAGACACGGCCCAGACUCCUACGGGAGGCAGCAGUAGGGAAUCUUCGGCAAUGGACGAAAGUCUGACCGAGCAACGCCGCGUGAGUGAAGAAGGUUUUCGGAUCGUAAAGCUCUGUUGUAAGAGAAGAACGGGUGUGAGAGUGGAAAGUUCACACUGUGACGGUAUCUUACCAGAAAGAGACGGCUAACUACGUG
rnacentral:rRNA from 1 species